rnacentral:rRNA from 1 species
GUGGGGAAUAUUGGACAAUGGGGGGAACCCUGAUCCAGCCAUGCCGCGUGUGUGAAGAAGGCCUUUUGGUUGUAAAGCACUUUAAGCGAGGAGGAGGCUACUCUAGUUAAUACCUAGGGAUAGUGGACGUUACUCGCAGAAUAAGCACCGGCUAACUCUGUGCCAGCAGCCGCGGUAAUACAGAGGGUGCAAGCGUUAAUCGGAUUUACUGGGCGUAAAGCGCGCGUAGGUGGCCAAUUAAGUCAAAUGUGAAAUCCCCGAGCUUAACUUGGGAAUUGCAUUCGAUACUGGUUGGCUAGAGUAUGGGAGAGGAUGGUAGAAUUCCAGGUGUAGCGGUGAAAUGCGUAGAGAUCUGGAGGAAUACCGAUGGCGAAGGCAGCCAUCUGGCCUAAUACUGACACUGAGGUGCGAAAGCAUGGGGAGCAAACAGGAUUAGAAACCCCAGUAGUCC